AGCGUAUUUUUUGUAGAUCGUUGACAACAAAUGACAAUUAAAUCCAUUUGAAUCCCACUUUGUAACAACAAAAUUGAAGGGCUGUUGACAUUUUCUGAAGGCGCUGUACAUGUUUUUUGCUCAUUCCUCUUUUGCAUGAUUGGUAUUGGUAAAUUUCCCCAUCUCCUUCUUUUAUACUUCCCCAGUGAGAAUACCCAAGUAUCAAAUGUGAGAAACCUGAGAAGAAAAGCAGCACAGACUACAUACUACACCAAAUCUAUAACAAUGUGUUAUUUGAGUCAGAACAGGUGUCUGGAAGUGAUGUUUGAAUGAGGUCAACAACAAACAUAUGAGAAUGAUUAGAGACACAGGAGAGGAGUGCUUCUGUGGUUUAUAAUUAAUCCACGAGUUGCUCUUUGAUCAUGGGAUAAAAUACUAUAGAACAAAAAUAAGUUGUUGCUGGAUAGUAAACAAUGCCGGGAAAGCGUUUGUCCAAACAAACUUCCUGAAGAACUCAAGGCCCUCAUGUAGUGGGAAAUGUUUAAAGCCUUGUGGCUUAUGCAUGGCAAGAACAAAAAACACUGAUGCGUUGUGGCUACAACAGCCUUCAACAGGGUGACCCUGAACUUAUUUGGCUAUUCAGUUGAGUUUCAUUUUAUUUCACAUAUGAAUAUAUCAAAUUUGGUCCCAAUUGGCACAUUGUACACAUAUACAUUUGCUCUAAUAAGAUAAGUAGAGAGUAUGAUAGCUCAGCACACAAGUAGUCUGUGAGAAGAAGGGUAUAGGUACCAUUUUAAGCACAAUGCUCUUUGGCUAUGUAGUGACAUCCGUUUGACACUGACACGUACAGUGUGAACUGUUGCUGCGUUUCAAUACCCUCGUGUUUGCUGUUUGUGCAGUUUUGCAUUUUGCAAUUGUAUUUGAUGUUUGUAUCUUUGUAAUUAACAGGCCUCAUUUAAGAAAGAGACCUUGGCCUCAAUAAGACUCCCUGUCCAAAUAAGGUUAAAUAUAAAAUAUAAGAAAUGAUACAAUACAUUUUUAGGUAAGUGUUCGGAAACCCCUUGUGUGUUUGAUCUGUCGGUGCUCAGCUUAUCGCAGUGUGUUGCAAAGUUCAGAGGAUGUCCUCUGUGGAUUGCACCAUUUCCCUUCUGUUUGAACUAUCUACACACCAGCUACACACCAUGAAACCCCCAUCCUACCCAACAUUUGAUUAUUGAACUUUAGACAGAACUUUCUCUUUACCCGUUGCUAUUUGUGGCAAGUUUCAUCAUAACAACAGUACCAAAAAAAAUUUAUGUUCUGUUCCCCAUGGGGCUUUUAUGCUAUACUGCAGACAUUGUCACAUGUACAUUGGAGUCAUUUAGCAGACUCUCUUAUCCAGAGCGACUUACAGUAGUGAGUGCAUACAUUUUCAUGCUGUUUUCAUACUGGUUCCCCCGUGGGAAUCGAGUCACCGUGGGAAUACCAAGUGUUAUGACUGGGUGGGUUUCUUAUUUCUGUAACAGGAUCCACCUAAUGUUGCAGAAAAGAGGAAUUGCAGAAUUCUGACAAGUGGAGUACUUCUGUGUGUUGACCUGAGCCCUAGGACCAUGCCCCAGGACUACCUGACAUGAUGACUCCUUGCUGUCCCCAGUCCACCUGGCCGUGCUGCUGCUCCAGUUUCAACUGUUCUGCCUUAUUAUUAUACGACCAUGCUGGUCAUUUAUGAACAUUUGAACAUCUUGGCCAUGUUCUGUUAUAAUCUCUACCCGGCACAGCCAGAAGAGGACUGGCCACCCCACAUAGCCUGGUUCCUCUCUAGGUUUCUUCCUAGGUUUUGGCCUUUCUAGGGAGUUUUUCCUAGCCACCGUGCUUCUACACCUGCAUUGCUUGCUGUUUGGGGUUUUAGGCUGGGUUUCUGUACAGCACUUUGAGAUAUCAGCUGAUGUACGAAGGGCUAUAUAAAUACAUUUGAUUUGAUUUUGAUUUGAUGAGUGAGAAAAUAAAUACACAUCAACAUAUUUACAUUUAAGUCUAGAAGAAAUAAUCAUAUAGCCUACUGCUAAAUAUGUGAUGCUCUGCCCCACCUGCCCUAAAUGACUGGUCACCACGGUGUACAAUGCAUCUCAUUCAUCAGUUGUGAUACAAUUUAAGGAUCCUUUUAUUGGGAUUUUCUUAGAAAAUAAAUCCACAAUUGUUAUGUAAAGAUUUUAGUGCAUACAAACUUAACAUGUGAACUAGGUCAUUGUUGCCUAAAAAUGACAUUGGUACACUGUUGGGAUUUUGUAAAUACUGCACAAAAAUAAAUACAAAUAAAAUACUCAAAUGUGUUAUUAAAUUG